GUGGUAGAUAGGAAGUAACUCUCAUUAAUUAAUGAUAUGCAGCGGAUCCUGACCUAUUUACACUGGAAAUUCACCAUGGAGGUUAUUUUACGGAUGUGUUAUACAUGGGGGUUAUUGUGCAGUGAAUUGACAACUUUGCUAGGGAUUAUGUGUCAAUGCUGGCCUUAUAUGACUUGGCAGUGGAACUUGGCUACCAAAAAGAGACCACUAAGUUCUUUUUUAAGGCGAAAAAGAAAGGGUUGGGUUCCAAUUGUAGUUGAUAACUGAUACAGCACAACAACCAGAGGGUUUAGGCAGUGAAGCAUCUGCAAAUGAGCAUUUGCAAUCUGAGAUUACUGAGGAACAAGAAGUUGAUGAGGGUUACGAAGGGGAUAAUGGUGAGGAGUUUGACGUUGAAGUGCAAAACACUACAUAUGUUUCUAGUGGUGAUGAAUUUGAAUAUGAAUUAGAGGAUGAUGAAGAUGUGGCUGAGGAAGUCAGUGGUGAUGAUGUGGAAGAUGAAGAGUUCAGAGAAACUGACUUUGAGCAAAGUGAAGAAGAUGACAACAAGUUUCACAGAUUUGUUGUAACUAAAGAUCUUGAUGAAGACCAGCAUAAAGAACUAUGGGAAGAGAUAA